CUAGAGCGGGUACUCUUCCAAGUAGCUGCAUGCCUAAAGCUGCCGGAAGCGUCGUGUCCUCCCUCGAUUCGGUCGAGCUGCAUCGGAGCAGUGCAUAGUGCUCUUGAUCUGUCGCGUCAUCCUCCAAGAUGGUACAAGCUGGCCGGCGUGCUCGCUGCACGCAUCGUCCUUGGCGCGCGUGGUCGUACAUCCCGUGUGGCACAGAAGUGGCGAGAUUCGUUGCAAGAAGGAGGCAAAGCUGGUGGUGUGCUCAGCUGCCCUCUAUUUGAGGCCGAGCCUGUGGGUGCGCCGAUGGAGACAAGGGGGAAGAAGCGGAAGCGAGAGCGCGAGCUGUUGGCCAUCCCAUCCUCUCCGGCUCGUGUUCAAUCCCCUUGGAUACACCUCCCACCCUGUAUCCGGGCACACAAGCUGGAGUCGGAAGCGGUCAUCGAUUUCGUUUGCCGAGUGAGCCCUGCAACCGCCGUUCGUUCGCUGAAUUGGGACAUCGUCCGCGACGGUGAUUCCACCAAGCUCACAGCAGCGUACAGUCCACCAUUGCCACCUCCGUCCGCACCAGCGAGUGCAGUGAGGGGUAAGGGAAAAAGGGCUGCCACUUCUACUGCUGCCUCAGAGGGGUGUUCAAAGAAGUCCCGCGGCAACUCCGCCGGGGAAGCCCUUGAAAGGCUUGUAUCACUAUGGAUGGAGUCGAUGGAGCGCCUGGCUAGGGCGAAGGUUGAGGCGAAGUCUAAAGGUUCAGAGGCUUGCAUGGAGUUGGUGGAAGCUGAUGGUCACCCUGUUCCCGGACCGGUUUGGCACGCUGCGGUUCGAGUGUUCACCUAUCCGCACUACUGCUCGUGCUUCAUGAAACUCCCGACCGCUGAAGCUCGUUCUGUGUACAUCUUGAUGAUGGCCCAAUCGUUGCCAGCGGUACCAUGGUCACAGGGCACAACUGGGUUUGGAGGUUGGCAUGGUGGUGCUGGUUCUAGUGCUCCAGGACUUGGAGAGCAAGAUUGGAGCGAGGAGGAUGAUGCCAUAAUCAACGUGCUAGCCUGCAGUCUUGAGCUCAAUCAGAGAGCUGCACGACGAGUUCCGGUUCAGACUGGUAUUAGUUGGAUGCUGGAGACGAUGGCGAAUCCGAGGCAAUGCAAGGCCAUGUUCCGAUUGAAGGCUGAGCAGAUACAUAGUUUACAUGAUCUCCUGAGUAGUAAAUACCACCUUCACGGAUCAUGGGAGGUAUGUGGUAUUGAGGCACUUGGGAUGUUCUUGUAUAUAUGGCAGGAAAUCGUCCAAACAGAGACACCAACAACCGUUGGUGCUGUGGAUGGCACGCAUGUGUCCAUCGUGGCAUCAGUAGCCACAUCUAUCGACAACAGGAACCGACACCACUUGACGACGAGAAAUGUUCUAGUUGUAUGUGAUCACGACGGUCGAGUUAUGUUCCUUGAUGCUGGAUGGCCAGGCUCAGUGCACGAUCAAAGGGUUUUGAAUCAAGCAAUACAAUAUUAUCUAGACAAUUUCCCCAGGUUAUCGCAAAGAAAGUAUUUACUUGCGGACUAUGGAUUUCCUAGUAGAAUGGGUUUUUUGACACCGUACCCACAUGUACGGUACCACAGGGAUGUUCUUGGUGGAGUCCGUGCACCGCAACCAGUUGGACAGGAAGAGACAUUUAACCAUCGACACUCCUCAUUGUGAAGUAUUAUUGAAACAACAUUUGGGAUCAUUAAAAAACAAUGGAAAAUCCUCAAAGAAAUACCACAAAACGACGACGAUCUAGUUCACACACGCAUCAUACAAGCAGCUUUUGCUUUACACAAUUUCAAGAAGGAUAGUCGCGAUGUGAACUACCGGCAUAAUCAUCCUCUGUACAACGGUAAUCCCAUUGUACAGGAGCAUCCAUACUUCAUUCAUAUGUACUACGCAACAAAUAGUGAGCAAGCUAUGAGCGCAUUGCGUGACUGCAUUGCUGAUGCUGUCUACAAUCACUAUCGGUAG
rnacentral:lncRNA from 1 species